rnacentral:rRNA from 1 species
CUACGGAGGGUGCAAGCGUUAUUCGGAAUCACUGGGCGUAAAGGACGCGUAGGCGGGUUGGCAAGUCAGAUGUGAAAUCCUACAGCUUAACUGUAGAACUGCAUUUGAAACUGCUAACCUAGAGUAUGGGAGGGGGAGAUGGAAUUAGUGGUGUAGGGGUAAAAUCCGUAGAUAUCACUAGGAAUACCGAAAGCGAAGGCGAUCUCCUGGAACAUAACUGACGCUAAGGCGUGAAAGCGUGGGGUGCAAACAGGAUUAGAUACCCUAGUAGUCC